AAGGGAAAAGUGGAGCAAAAGACCAAAGAGUUGUAAUUCCCGCUAAAUAUGGCGAUACCUUAGUAUUUUGAUAAUAUCUCAGCCUAGGAAUGUCCGAUUCAAGUGAUUCUUGCAUCAUUGGAAAGAAUACUCGAAGAGCUACAACUUUGAUGAAGACCAAAAAU